UAACGUUGAAAUACUACACUAACAAUGGAAUGUUCCUCAAUAAAACUGAAGAUGAGACUUAGAAACAGGUGUUCCAACUCUGUGGUCACUAAGACCCGUGGCCCUUAUUGAAGAUGAGACUUAGAAACAGGUGUUCUAACUCUGUGGUCACUAAGACCCGUGGCCCUUAUUGAAGAUGAGACUUUGAAACAGGUGUUCUAACUCUGUGGUCACUAAGACCCGUGGCCCUUAUUGAAGAUGAGACUUUGAAACAGGUGUUCUAACUCUGUGGUCACUAAGACCCGUGGCCCUUAUUGAAGAUGAGACUUUGAAACGGGUGUUCUAACUCUGUGGUCACUAAGACCCGUGGCCCUUAUUGAAGAUGAGACUUU
ensembl:lncRNA